rnacentral:rRNA from 1 species
GAUGAACGCUGGCGGCGUGCCUAAUACAUGCAAGUCGAGCGAACGGACGAGAAGCUUGCUUCGCUGUUGUUAGCGGCGGACGGGUGAGUAACACGUGGAUACCCUACCUAUAAGACUGGUAUAACUUCGGGAAACCGGAGCUAAUACCGGAUAAUAUUUUGAACCGCAUGGUUCAAAAGUGAAAGUCGGUGUUGCUGUCCCUUCUAGCUGGAUCCGCGCUGCAUUGGCUGGUUGGUAAGGUAACGGCUUACCACGGCAACGAGGCCUAGCCGACCGGAGAGGCUGAUAGGCCACAUGGGAACGUAGCCAGGGUCCAGACUCCUACGGGAGGCAGCAGUAGGCAAUCUUCCGCAAUAGGCGAAAGCCUGACGGAGCAACGCGGCGUGAGUGAUGAAGGUCUUCGGAGCGUAAAGAUGUGUUAUUAGGGAAGAACAUAUGUGGAAGUAACCGUGCACAGCGUGACGGUACCUAGUCAGAAAGCCACGGCUAACUACGUG